rnacentral:lncRNA from 1 species
GCAGGCUUUUUCUCAGCCCCUUCUUUGGACUCGUGACAGGGGCAAACGUUUACUCAGCCCACCACGCUCAGCCCCUUGCGUGAGGGAGCAUGUGAACGAGCGAGUGCAGGACCCAGCCGGCCGCUCUGGGAGUCGACACAGGAGAAGGCUUCAUGCACAGCCAGACCAGGCAUGAGCCAGCGAGUGCGGGACCCGGCCGGCUGCUCCAGGCGCCGCACAUGGGCAGACUAGGUACAGCUUGUGAUCCUGUCAUGGAUUGUAUCAGCCAAGGAGACUGGAUUAACUCACAUACCUAGGCAUUUAUGGCUCUGAAGUGAGCCAGUGUUCAAAAAGCGUCCUGAGGACAGAUGGAGUUGCUUGACCCACAGGUGGAUGAGCUUCGCUGGAGCAGGAAGGCCCUGGUCCUGGCUGAAAGAACACCUAAGACCAAGGAGAGAAUGCAAAAUGAUGAAGCAGGAGCCUGCACCACAACCAGCAGCCAAUCAGAGAGGAAAAGGAACCAAAUGCUGGGCAAUCAAAUGCAAGAAAAAAAGCAGUGAGAUUUUUCAUUGAAAUAAAAAUGCAAAAAAAAAAACAAAAA